rnacentral:misc_RNA from 1 species
UCUCCGUAGGUGAACCUGCGGAAGGAUCAUUCAUAAUAAGUGUUCUACUGCACUUUUUAAAAAUAGUACUCACCUUGUGUGCAAUGUUGUGUGAACUUCUACUUGUAGAAGUCCACACCUACACCAACCUAUAACCUUGAUCCACUUUGUCUGAAAAACUAUUAUGAAUACUUAAUUCAAAAUACAACUUUCAACAACGGAUCUCUUGGCUCUC